CUCAGGAACAGGUUAAUGUUAGUGGAUUACUCAGGAACAGGUUAAUGUUAGUGGAUUACUCAGGAACAGGUUAAUGUUAAAGUGGAUUACUCAGGAACAGGUUAAUGUUAGUCUAUUACUCAGGAACAGGUUAAUGUUAGUCUAUUACUCAGGAACAGGUUAAUGUUAGUGGAUUACUCAGGAACAGGUUAAUGUUAGUCUAUUACUCAGGAACAGGUUAAUGUUAGUGGAUUACUCAGGAACAGGUUAAUGUUAAAGUGGAUUACUCAGGAACAGGUUAAUGUUAGUAUUUCUCAGGAACAGGUUAAUGUUAGUGGAUUACUCAGGAACAGGUUAAUGUUAGUAUUUCUCAGGAACAGGUUAAUGUUAGUAUUACUCAGGAACAGGUUAAUGUUAGUGGAUUACUCAGGAACAGGUUAAUGUUAGUGGAUUACUCAGGAACAGGUUAAUGUUAGUGGAUUACUCAGGAACAGGUUAAUGUUAAAGUGGAUUACUCAGGAACAGGUUAAUGUUAGUGGAUUACUCAGGAACAGGUUAAUGUUAAAGUGGAUUACUCAGGAACAGGUUAAUGUUAGUGGAUUACUCAGGAACAGGUUAAUGUUAAAGUGGAUUACUCAGGAACAGGUUAAUGUUAGUGGAUUACUCAGGAACAGGUUAAUGUUAGUGGAUUACUCAGGAACAGGUUAAUGUUAC
ensembl:lncRNA